rnacentral:rRNA from 1 species
UACGUAGGGUGCGAGCGUUGUCCGGAAUUAUUGGGCGUAAAGAGCUUGUAGGCGGUUUGUCGCGUCUGCCGUGAAAAUCCGAGGCUCAACCUCGGACUUGCGGUGGGUACGGGCAGACUAGAGUGUGGUAGGGGAGACUGGAAUUCCUGGUGUAGCAGUGAAAUGCGCAGAUAUCAGGAGGAACACCGAUGGCGAAGGCAGGUCUCUGGGCCACUACUGACGCUGAGAAGCGAAAGCAUGGGGAGCGAACAGG